CCCGCACGCACCUGGAUACCCCCUCUCCCUAUAAAACCCGCCCCCGUGACGCCCAGUUUCCCCUCGUCCGAAGCCCCAUCAUAUGAUCAUAUGGGCACUCCUCCCUCACUCUCUCUCGCGGAACUGCUCGCGGAGUAACUAAUUCGCUGCUGCCGUUCUGGAGCGCGAUGUCCGCGAGCGUCGCGUCCAUCCGGAGCUCCGCCAAGUCCGGCGGCCUUCCACCACCGCCACAGAACGAGGACGAGUCCGGGAACUUGUCUACAGAACUCCCUUCGACCUCCUCUACGCCGUUCAACCAUUCGUUGACGCCGGAUGCCAUCUUCUCCAACUCCGGCGGAACUCCGAUCUCGACAGAUUAAGAGAUGAUAGGGUUAUGGCCUACACUCAAUGAGCCAAGUGGCGUUGAUGGAGCCCUAACUUAGCGACAUGCAUGUUAUUUUGCUGUAUUAUGCGCCAGCAUUGAGUUGUGCCAAUGCUUCGAUCCAGGGAUAGCACAAUAGGCACGAAGAUUUGGAUUCUACCAAAUCUGAGUCGUUACAACUAGCCACUGAAGCGUUAAAGUGUGCCGGCUCUCAUGUCUAUCUUUUCCUCCUCAAACGAAUGGACAUAAUAAUGGUUCAAUGGGAAUAUAUAUAUAACAAAUAGACGGAAAUGCAAUUGUCUCUUUCCAUAGCAUAUAACUUGGAAAGGAAUCUGUGUUGCAUGCGGUGUCGGUGUUUUACGUGAGAUGUUAUACUCCUGAUGCUAUCACUGGAUCAGUACUGCUGGUUAAAUUCCUCUGUAUCUAUCUACCUAUCCCCAAGUGAAACAUAGCAUGUUUCUAUAGCUACCGUUUAGCGACAGCAUGUUCACCACACAAUGCACUAACUAGCUUCCUAUUUAAACACCUCCUCCCUGGAAUUCAUCUUCUUCUCAUCCAAUAUUUUCCUCCCUCUCCAACAACCAUUCUCCUCUUCCCUCGCAAAGAAAAACAACCCUCCUCGAUAUAGCUAUAGAAACGUACCUUGUGCUCCUCCAGCACGCAGUGCACUAGCUAGCUGCUCACCUAUUUAACCACCACCUGCAUGUUCUUCUCAUCCCAUAGUUAUCUCCCUCUCUAUCAACCCUCCUCCUUGAUACUUCUCUCCCUUACCUCUACAUACCCACACACAAGUGUGCCUCUUCUAUAUCAGAAGUUCGACUGCCUGAUCUUUGGUAAGCUCUAGUCCUCCUUGUUUCUGUUUGUCUUCAUUAUAAGCGCCAAGGUUCUCACACACGCGAAAACACUGUAGACCUCGGCGACACGCUCUACCCACUCUCAUUCGGGAUAUUUCCUAUUGUUUGAACGAACAUAGAGGUAUAUAUGGUGUCUUGCUAUCCACGCGCAUGCUUUCGUUUAUGUUUUUGAUUUUUUUAAGUUAAUGCAUGUCUAUUAUUCGCUGCCAUGCGUUUUGUAGAUUACAUGAUGCAAAAGCAUCAAAAGGUCCAAUGUUUCCAUCGUAUGCCCUCAGCUGUAUAAAAAUUAUGGCACUAUCGGAUGAGCUUAUACGCAACAUCGAUCACUCGUUCCAAUUGAAUUACCCCUUUUUUCUCACAUCUCACAACUCAGUUUUCUUCUCAGGCCAUCGGAUAUGACAUUGAAUAGGACGAAUUUCAUAGGUAUACACAUACAAGAGCACUAAACAUCCUUCUUCCAUUCUUGUGCCUAUUUGACUCUCUCUAGUGCUUUGCUCUAACAUCCGCUUUGUCCUGCUUCUCAAAUAAAUAAACCAUGUUCGUGUCUGACAGGUUUGUCCAUGGAAGUGGACUGCCCUACAACAGCAUCAAGAGCGACGAUCUUCUUAGUAACAUGCCUAAGAAAAUGUGCAUCCGUAAUCUCAUAUAUGCCAACUAGUUCUCAACAACAUGCAUCCAGAAAACAAAACAACAACCAUGGGAAGGGGCUGCCAACUCUGAGAUAUUUGGCAUCAGCACAUUUGGCCCGAUUAGUCGGCGAGGUCGACAAGCUAGCUAGGACCCCACCCAGUGCAAUCAAGGCCAUGAAGACAACCCUAGAAAUGUUCAACGUCAACCGGUAUGUCUGUCAUCUUCCAACAUUUUGGUCGAUUUGUAUUCUACUUGACCAUGUGCUAACCAGAGGUGGCUCUGUAUUGUUGGAUAUAAAUUUCCGAAUACUAACAAGAGUGUUGGAUAGAUUUCGGAAUACUGACCACACCUCUUGUUAGUAUUCCAAAAUUUAUCAAACAAUACUGAUCCACCUCUGGUCGGCAAACGACCAAGUAGAAUACAAAUCGACCGAAAUGUUGCAAGACGACAGACAUACCACCUUGGAGGGGUCGACGAUGAACAUUUUUAGGGCUUCCUUCAUGGUCUUGAUUUUUGUCUUGCACUUGACGGGGGUCCUAGGCAGCUUGUCGACCCUGCCACCUGAUCGGGCUCCAGCGGGUGUUCAAAGUCUCGAAGCAGAUGAUCCCAUCGAAGCAAACCUCCAAACCCAGCCUCUUAAGAACUUGUCGCAUGACAACGUAUGCGCAUGUUCUUGAGCAUGUGCCUGAGAAGAUCAUCGUGCUUAUGUUGUUGGAGGCCAGUCCACUUCCAUGGACAAAGCUGUUAGACACGAACAUGAUUUAUUUAUUUGAGAAGCAGGACAAAGCGGAUGUUAGAGCAGAGCACUAGAGAGUCAAAUUGGUAUGAGGAUUGAGGAAGGGUGUUUAAUUAGUGCGCUCAUGUACGUGCUAUAAAAGUCGUUGUAAUUAAUAUCGUAUCCGAUGAACUGAGAACAAAAUUGAGUUGUGAGACGUGAGUAAAAAAAGGAGUAAUUCAAUUUGAA